CAGGUAGGAAUACCCGCUGAACUUAAG
rnacentral:rRNA from 1 species